rnacentral:lncRNA from 1 species
CUAACAAGUGCUGCCGUGUGAAGCUGUUCUAGGAAGGAGACUUCAUGAUGGUUUACUUGAGGAGAGAAUGUUUCCAAUUGGUACCUACAGCAAACUGAAACCUCGAAAGUAUGGCCCCUACAAAGUUAUGAAGAAAAUAAACGAUAACGCCUAUGUCGUGGAUCUUCCUUCUUCAAUGGGCAUAUCGAGCACUUUCAAUGUCACGGAUCUACAUGAGCUCCGUGAUGAUGAGUCAAUUUAUCCUAAUGAUACCACGGCGUCAAGUUCUUCGGAAGUGGAAGGGACUAAUGUAGAACAAAUGGUGGAAGCAAUCAAAAAGGAGCUGGAGUGACACGCAAGGAAGGGCAAAUCGGGUAAACUGCAGAUUUUGGCUCUAAGCUCAGAAUCGGGUUAAUGAUCCGUCGAUUUGAAGGGAACAGCAUCACGAGUAAAACCCAUUUCUUUGCUAUGACGUAUGGGCUUUUUUGGACAUCCAAUAUAAUUUGGUAGCCCGAAAUCCAG